AGUAACGGCAUCAUUUUUUUAUAUUUGGUGCCUAAAAUUUGUAGAUAAUGCUGCUAUUAUCUCAAACAGUGUAAUGAAACCACUUGGAAAGGAGCUGGCUAAGAUUCAGUCAUAAUGAAUAAGGUGAGGAAUAGCUUAUUUAAAUGGGCUUCAAGAAGGUCUAAUGAUUACUGGUCUUUAAUAGCUCUACCUAUUACCAACAACUUUACACAUCUCUGUUUCAUGACGUAGCAUAAAACACACACCUGGAAAUCAGGCAGCCUGGUUCUAGCCCCAGUGACACAGUAAACUAAAUCAG